GGGUCGUUAGCUCAAUUGGUAGAGCAGCUGACUCUUAAUCAGCGGGUUGUAGGUUCAAGUCCUACACGACCCACCA
rnacentral:tRNA from 1 species